rnacentral:lncRNA from 1 species
GUAAUAGGGACUGAUCUCCUUUCUUUGCCCCAGCUAUCUAAGGGCUUGGGCCUUUUGGCCCAGCCUAAACAGAGGGGGUAUUUAAGCCCUAUUCCCUUCUCUCCCCUUUCUCUCUCUCUCUCUCUCUCUCUCUCUCUCUCUCUCUCUCUCUCUCUCUGUCUCUCUGUCUCUGUCUCUGUCUGUCUCUCUCUCUGUCUCUGUCUCUGUCUCUGUCUCUCUCUCUCUCUCCCUCUCCCUCUCUCUCUCUCUCUCUCUCUCUCUCUCCCCUCUCUCUCCCUCCCUCCCUCUCUCUCUCUCUCUCUCUCUCUCUCUCUCUCUCUCUCUCUCUCUCUCUCUCUCUCUCUCUCUCUCUCUCUCUCUCUCUCUCUUUCCCCUCUCUAUCCAUUUUCCCUCACUUUCCAAUCUCCUUCUCAGGUGUCCACCCACAAGAAUUUUAAUAUAUAACUACAGGAGGAUACAAUUCCCUCAGUGCAAAGGCCAACUAACUGGGGCCUGAAGUGAAGGCUGACCUUCCAUAUAUAGCAUGUAACAUGGGAUUAUUAUGUGGCUUGAAGGGAGGCAGAAUUGGUAUCUCUAGCUUUUCCUCUGUCCCACCCUCUUCCAUGGAAGGCUUUAUUUCUUGCCAGGAGGUCAGGAUCAAAAGCUUGGCCACUCUCUUUUUUUUUUUGAGAUUUGAGAGAGGGGUACCAGACUGGAAUUAUAGUUAACUGCUCCCUUAAAUAUUGUUAGUCUAGUCUAGCCACUUAUUCACAAUUGCUAAGAAAAUGUAAAGGUCAGGCUAGACCUAACCCCAAUAUAUUUUAAAAACAACACACAAACACAAUUCAUAUUCAAACUAAAUUCAUGAUGGCUGUUCAUUAGUGGGAAAGGAGGACCCCAAGUUUUAUAUCCAAGGCUUAAUUUAACACUCUUUCCUCCAGAUACCAAUUCUACAGUGAACACACAUAGCACUUAACAAAGAAAUUCAC